rnacentral:misc_RNA from 1 species
AAAAUGCACGGAGCACACGAAAUGCAGCGAUUCACCUGUACGUGUGUGUGUGCUCGCGCGGCAGACAUGCAGCCUAACGCUGCAAGCUACUCAUAAGAAGUUCUAAAAGACUUUCAGUUGGUGUGUAAUGGCGGACCUUAUGGACACGGUCUCUGAUUUACGGGACCUCGGCGUAGCAGUGAGUAGCAAUAACAACAACAGUGGCUUCAGCUCUGACAACAGCUCCGAUCUCAGCCAGCCGAUGGGAGCCCUGGAGGACGAAGAAGGCGAAGAAGAUUCGCCGGGUCAGGUGAGCGUCUGCGAUCCCGAACACAUGGAGGAAAGAUUCCGUGUCGACCGAAAGAAACUGGAAGAAAUGCUACAAGCUGCGCAAGAUGGGAAAGCUGAAACGGGUGAAGAAUUUUUCCAGCGGAUAAUGCAAGAAACAGACACACGCAUCACGUGGCCUUCCAAAUUAAAGAUUGGAGCAAAAUCAAAAAAAGAUCCCCACAUCAAAGUGACAGGGAAAAUUGAAAACGUAGUCACAGCCAAAGAUAAAAUCAUGGCAGUCCUAGACACAAAGAGUAAUAGAGUCACCUUAAAAAUGGACGUCUCCUACACCGAACACUCCCAUGUGAUUGGUAAAGGAGGUAACAUCAUCAAGAAAGUCAUGCAGGACACAGGCUGCCAUAUUCACUUUCCGGAUUCCAACCGAGGCUCUCAGCAAGAGAAAAGUAACCAAGUCUCCAUAGCUGGUCAGAUAGGGGGAGUAGAGCAGGCACGGGCAAAAGUUAGGGAGCUUCUGCCACUGGUCUUGGUCUUUGAGCUUCCUAUCACUAACAACCCCACACCAGACAUCAACUCCCCAACCAUCCAACAGAUUGUCCAGCUCUACAACAUUGGUGUUAACAUGAAGCAGAGGGCACGAGGCUAUUCCACCACAGUUACAGUCAGGGGAUCCAGCAGUAAUGCAGUGGGAGUCAAGGAAGGCACCAUGCGGUUGAUGGAACACCUCAUUGGAAACAUAGGCGUGACUCUCCCCGUGAGUACACAGAUAGAGAUAGCCCCACAGCACCAUCAGUUUAUGAGUGGUCGAGGUGGCCUGAAUGUGAAACAGAUCAUGCAGGGAACCGGCGCUACCAUCCACUUCCCUGAUCCCAACAAUGCUCAGAGGAAGAGUACGGUGUUUAUCUCAGGACCUGUGGAUUCUGUCAUCAUAGCUAGACAUCUACUCAUGGGCUGUCUUCCUCUAGUUCUGAUGUUUGAUGUAAAGGAGGAAGUGGAUAUUGAUGCCUCCAAACUAGCACAGUUGAUGGAGCAAUUGGAUGUCUUCAUCAGUAUCAAGCCCAAGCCAAGACAACCAAGCAAGUCUGUUAUAGUCAAGAGCAUUGAGAGGAAUGCUCCCAGCAUGUACCGAGCCAGACAGAUUCUACUUGGUCAGGAAUGUGAGAGCUGUGCUGCUAACUGCAGUAAUGCUACAAGGGGUCUGAAUGGGACGUCGCUACCACUUUCAGGUCUUCUGAACUCCAACCUUGUCAGUAUAAACACCAGCAAUCUUCUCUCGGUGAAUGGUCUCUCCCGAGUCAGUCCCUUACAGAGUCCACGGUCAUCGGUCAGUGGACCCAAUGGGUUGACUUGGCCAGCUGUAUCCCAGCAAUCUACUGGACUCAGUCAUAGUUUUCCUGCUGGAGUAACUCCAGUUCUGAUCUCCCAGCAGACCAUCAAGCCUCUUCUUGUACAGCCGGGCCAAAAUGCCCUUCAAAAUCAAAAAGUUCUUCAGAGUCAGAGCGCCCCCCAGAGUCAAAGUGCCUGUCAGGGACAAAACACCUUCCAGAGUCAAGGCACUCUCCAGGGUCAGACUGCCCUUCAGGGUCAGAGCGCCUGCCAGGGUCAGAGCACCCUCCAGAGUCAAGGCACCCUCCAGUCUUUCCCUAACCAAGUCCAGAACCCAACCCACAUUCCAUCCCUUAACCCUGUUCCCAACCCCACCCCAGUACCCAUUACCAAUCCUGCCCUGAACCCUAAUGUGAGCCCCCCUGUGCACCUAGGUGCCAACCCACUGUUCACCCCAACCACAGCACCAACUUCCCCUCCACCCCUGGCCAAUCCACCAUCAGCCCCCAUCCAGCUAGCCCCAAACAUGGCUGCCAGUCUGCAGGUAGUCACUCGUCCAGCAGCUGAGCCGACUCAGGCUUACAUCUUAUCAUCAGCUGCCUUGCCAGUGACAAAUACUGUGGUAAACACAGAGCCACAUAAGGUAGCUAUCCCAUCGGCAGUGAGGGCAAACCCACAAGCUGAAGCACCAAAGACGAUACAACAAAACACUAUGGCACAACAGCUGACAUAUAUACCCCAACAUAGAGUGUCACAACCGGAGCCACACAGGGUAAUAUACCCUACCCCACACCAGACAGAGGCACAGAGGGUCACGCAUAGCUCCCCACAGAGGGUACACCCAACAUCCCCACCCCCAGGAUUGACUAAGGCAGAUCCUGACCUACUAUCAACAGAGCUUCAGAGACUACACAUGGCAGCAAAGGCAGCUCAAUUAAUUAGUUCCUGUGGAGGAGAAGAGCUGACGGAACACAUUGCCCAAGCUUCUCAAAUUGACAGACAGCUCUCAAGUCCCACCAAAGACAGAGUGAUGAGCAGUAGCCAUAGCAACACAAGUAGUGGCACCAGUCCAAACCAGAGCCCUUGUAAUAGCCCCAUUGACCUUAUCUCCAUGCCAACAACCCCUCCUAUCAGCAGCAGCAACAACAAUAAUCCCAAACUGGUAGACUUGGGCUACCUUCAGAACAACAUCUCACCUAACAACAGCAACGGGAACUUGUCAGGAGUGCUGAUGGGCUCAGGAGGAAGGGGGUCAUUGACCCUUCUGCAGGAUGGAACCCUGGGAUUGACGGGAUCUGGACUAGCAUAUCACACAAAUGGCAGAAGAUCAUCAGAAUCAGGCGGUGACUCAGACAGCUCCGACAAGCGUGCUCCAGGAUGUGAGAGGCGGGACAGGGAUCGAGAGAGAGGAGAAUGGGAGAGGGGACGAGAGAAGGAACGACAGGAGGAGGUGGACAGGCUGGCUUUGCAGUCAACAUCAGCCUCCUACGGUAGUAUUGACUAUGACCAGAAGAAACUCAAGGCAAAUAAAGCUAUGAAGAAGAAGCCAAUAGGUACAGAAGUCCGUCGGCCGACUGACCAGUGGAGUGGCUUAGGCUUCUCCAAAUCAAUGCCGGAAUCAGCCAUUAGGGAGCAACGUAAACCUAACGGAUUCUCACUAUUCCAUACAGAGAAGCUGCCAACUACAUAUGAGAACACACUGAAGGAGGAGACUGAGAAUGGCACCACUGACAGCAGCUGGCCACCAGAUCAGCCAAGUCCGUCCAUUGACCUCAUGACCUGUCAACAACCUGAGCAACCACAACCAACAUCAGCUGCACCUGGAGAAUAUCCUGCCAACAGGAAAAAGAAAGUAACAUACACCAACCUCAGUUGUAGUAAUUACAUCGAGGGAUCCUCACUACCUGGACAGACUAAAGGCCUCUGGUCCAGCAGUGAGGGCAGUAAUUCACUGACACAAUCCAAGAAACCAGACCUAGCUGAUCUCUUUAUCAAUCUUGGUCUGGGCAAAUACGCUGAUGUCUUUCAACAGCAAGAGAUCGACCUGUCAACUUUCCUGACCCUGACGGACAAUGACCUAAAGGAGCUUGGCAUCACGACCUUUGGGGCGAGAAGAAAGAUGCGGCUGGCAAUUUCCAACAUGAACAAGGGUAAGACCAAGCCAUCCCUGUUCAGUGCCAACAAUUCUUCGAGUCUUCUCCACGAGGGUUCCAAUGGAUCCAAUGGUCUGAUUCAGUCUUCUCAUGGCCAUGAAAGCCCAACCAGCGUUUGGUAAGACAGUGAGUCCCAACCACUCCCGAUUUGUCCUUCUCCAAGUACAGUUUGGCUCAGAAAUCACCCGUACACCAAGCAACAUUUUUCGCAGCGUAGAUGUUCUGAGGUACCAGAAUUUUGGAUUGAAGUAGUUUUCAACAAUGCCAGAAAAUUUGGUAGGAAAAGUUGUUGAUUGAUUCUGCUGUGCAAGUAGACCAGUCUGGCAAUGUGAGGUUGUUUUUACUUGACCUGAAUUGUGUCAGAGUCAAAUUGGGGUCAAAUUGGUGUCAAGUUGUGUCUUCCAAAUUGUUUGCACAGUGUGACAUGCAGUGUCACACCUAAGUGACAUGCACAAUAUAGAAUGCACAAUGUAUUGUUUUUGUUUUAAUAUUUUUGGCAAAAUAAGUGGAAAGUAAUCAAUUGUGUAUUUAUGUUAGGGUCAGGAGUUUGUUGAAUGCAACAUAUACAUAUUUCAAACUUCAAUGCGUUUGUUUGCACACGACAGUGGCCGCCGAAAUGGAUGCCACUUUUGCUCUUCUUUGCAACCAAACGGUCAAGCUGACCAUUGGCUAAAACACCGAGUGUCUUUCAAACAAAAUUGUGAAUAGUUAAAAUUUUUUAUGGACAUUAAAACUUGAAACAUAAAUGAGGAAAUGUCAAUAAAAACAGUGCUGGUUAAAAAGUUAGUAUGUGGUCAAAUGGAUUGAAGUUACAGUCCCUUUUGAAGCACAUUACAAACUUGCUUUUCAAGAAAAGCCUAAUGUUACAGAGGUUUUUGAAUGCUUGCAGAAUUUUUAAAAUGUUUGAAACAAUUUAAGAAUCAAACAAUUUAAGACUGUUUACCAAAUGUAAUAUUUUUUAUUUUUCUGCACCAGCAUUUUUGUAGAAACUAUUUUUUGCAAUGUGAUUUGCAUGUGCUUGGUAUGUCUAAAGCUGUAUAUUUUUGAAACUCGGGUUUUCCAAGCCAAAUGGUAUCAUCUUGACUAAAUUCUUGAGGUGCUUCCAAAAGCAACAUUUAAAAAUUGUCAAAGGAAACUAUUAAUGCCUUUUGUACUUAUGCUACCAUUCUGUAUGCAUUUGUACUUAUGGUACCAUUUUGUAUGCAUAGCCAUUUGUAAGUAGGAUUUCUUUAUAAAACUAACUAACUUUUGAAUCUGCUGAUCAAACUGUGUGGUUUGUUUAGCAGUGACAAACCUUUUUGGUAUCCAAGCAUGCAUUGUUUUUAAGGGUCAGUUCAUAUUCAUUACUUCCUAGGUGUGCCAACAUAAAUUGGAAAACACUGUAUAAAGUCUUGGCUGGUUGUAGGAACAUCCUGGCAUUUGGUUAUCACGUUCCUCGGUGGUCACCCAAGUGGCAUACAUGUACCUACAUCAAGCAGUUAGAUUGUUGAGAUUCUGUCCAGGUAUUCUGGAUGUCACAAUCCAGCUUAUCUGGAUCUCUAGAGAACACAUAUUUGUAUGAACUCUCUCAAAGUAUUGCUAUGCCAUUAAACCUAAAAGCAACAAGAGUACUUGUAUAAAGUCAUGGAACUAGUUCCAGCUGUUUUUAAUCAUCAGUUCUUGAACAAAUUUGGGGUUCGUUACUCAUUCUCAGGAAAUGAUUGGGGAGAUAAUACAGUUGUAGGUUUGCCAAUUUAAUGAAUUCAUCACAGCAACAAUGACCAUUUACAUUCGUAAAUGGGCACAUUUUCAACCUGUUCACUGUUACCUUUCAACAUCUGCUAUGAAUUUAUUACCAACUUUUAAAGCAGUCCCUAUACAUGUAGUUUACAAAGAUGUGUAGCAUUGUAGAGAAGAUAUUGGAAAGGUUGCUUAGCAACAAGACACAAUGGGAAAUUCAUUGUCAACUUAGGUAUUGCCAUGAUAUGAUAGUCCGUCCUUUGUACAUUCAUUUUUGUACACCCUUGUCAAUGUCUCGUCCACACCCAGUAGGUUUAGUUUGCAUAUUAAUUGUAUACAUAGGAAUUCUUUUUUGUUUCUAAAGUGUGGAAAUGUUUCUUGGACCACAAAAUAUACAUACAAAUUUUCAUGUUGUAUGGAAUACAUGGGGCAGCCUUUUUGCAAAAUAUUUGGGCAGUGAGUUUUGGAAUAAUUAUUUGUUAAGCGGAGAAAUAUUGAAAAUAACAGAAUUAUCAGGAAAUAAUGUUGGAAUUAUUUUUUUUUAGGUACAUUAACUUUACUCAGACAUGGUUUACCUUAGAUUUCAUGAUGGGCAGAUGUCAAUACAUUGCUGUUCACUUAAAAAAAAUGCUUUGAAAUGGUACUUUACUUUCAUGACACUUUAUACGGCUUUUUAGAACAAUUUUUUCAUUGGGACGUACAGUGAAGUUUGAACAUUCAAUUGCUAAAUUUUGAAUUUUGAUUUUAUAAAUAGGUUUUCCGCAGAUUACCAUGCACUUCAGUUUUUGGAUGACAAAAUGUAAGUCCUAAUGACAAUAAUUUUUGCAAGUGUUCAUCUGAUUCAAAGUUUAGGGUAAGUAUUUAUCCUUACCCUAUAAGAAGUGGGAGGGAUAACCAGACAGAUUUUUAAGUUAGCAAGAAACUUGACUAUGAUAUAAGGUUAACAUUCAAUGAAGAUAUGGCAUAAUUAAUGACAGAAACUUGUUUGGUUACAAGUACAAAUUGAAGGACACUAGGGCUGAUUUUUGUUUUUGUAAGGAAGUUUCCCCAAGAAAAUUGAUUCCUUGUCACUUUGUGUUGAACAUGAGUGCGUUCAGUAGAAGUCUUCCUUAGCAGUCAGGUUCACCUCGCCUGCCGAUGCUUAAUAAACAACUUCUCGCCUUCACAGAAGUGGAGUAUUGUCACAUUGACGAGAUUAGUAGCACCCAACAAUGCAUGAGAGAGUUUGAUAUAUUAGCAAGAUGAAGACAGGAUGGAAUGACAAAGUAUCCUGUCAGAGGAACAAGAUGAAGCCUGUCAAUUCAACCACCUUGUAUAAAACCUUGUCAGUUAAAAACUCAGUUUCUCAGUAGGAUGAGAAACUUUAAUAUGAGGUAGUCAUGUGAAAAACUGCUAACGUAAUCACAUAAAGAGAUCUGAACAUGGUGUCUAGAGCAAUGAACACUGGCUGAGGAUUGAUCCAAGCCAUCAUUACCAUUAUAGUAUUUCCUUUUUUGCGUAGACAAGCUUUAAACUUGAGUGCUACUGAUAUUGGUUUCUUUUUUUGUUAAAGUAGAUUAAAAUAAUAUAUGCAAUCUGCCUUUGUCUUGUUGAGAAAAUUAAGUAUUUUUAAUAACAUUUGUGCGAACAAUCAAAGAAUUUUAAGGCAACAUCUGUGUACUAUUUGUGUUACAUUUUGAUAUCGUGUUCUGUAAAUAUAUUUUGUAUAUGAAAUCAUAUUUCUUCUUUAUAUUCAGUGAACAAUGCCUUUUGAUCAAACUUUUAAAUUCCCAAUCAGCUCAGAAGAGCGGCAGUAUUUUGUCACAACUUUCCUUGUCUUCUUCAGAGGCGGAGUAGUUUUAAAAUUCGACUUUUGAACUCCUGGUUGGGAAAUGUAUAUUGAUUGCAUUUCGACAAAGGGUAUUUUUAAAUUCCAAAAUGCAAUUAAUGUAUUGUGUUAAAAAGUUUCUCGUUUCAUUUCUGUUCAGGAUCCAAUAUGUCUAUCAUUGCAUUCUUCGUAGAAGUACAGUAUUUUAUAAGUACGGACAAACAUUUCCCUUUAUCUUCCAAAAACUGGGAAUCAUUCAAUCCUGCUCGAUCUGACAUUCCGUUCCAUUUAAUGUUGAAAGACAAUCUGAUCCUCGGUCAGGAGACGACUUACAUGAAGAAAAUGCUGUGAACCUAUUUAGGGCCUACUGUCGACAGUAAAAGAGUGAUAUGAAGCAUAUACAUGUAGUAGAUUUCAAACCAUGUUCACCAAGGGAAUAAACGAUGAACAUUGAUUUAUAAAUUAGAUUAAUAAAAACCUUUCACAUACCCGCUACUAUACUUCUUAUUUGCGAGUGUGGAUGGCAGGCGGAUGCAAUAAUGUUCUCUUGCUAGGUUGGAAAAAAGUUCUUUGGUUUAUUUGGUUAGAAAAUUGCACCCAUCUUGAAAUCCAUAAAUGGAAGCAGAGCUUGUACUGUAUAUGUUGUCUGAUAUUUCCUUGGAUUUAUCCAGUCACGUUUAAACAUUUGUUACUUUGUACGUAUAUUUUUAGCAAAAGAUAAUUUAUUACCAUCUUGAAGUUUGUAGAAAGCACUAUUGGCCACCGAUUAACAAGAAAUUUAUUUAAUAGCCGAGAAGAAUGAAUAAUGUUGAUGAAAAUGUGACAUUUAAAAGUACAGUUUGUAUUAUGUAAAUUUUGAAGUAAAGAAUGACUCCCUCGAA